CUAUGAUUCAGCACAGGAGGAAGGGGGUGAGCGAGUCCUGAGUGAUCCACUUACGCUUACGAUUCAGCACAGGAAGGGAGUGGGUGAGUAGCUCAAAUGUGCUACUCAAUCAGAGAGAGGCCUGCUCAAAAUGAGACCCUUGAGCGAAAGUUGUAUCACAUCGCGGAACGGAUCACUGCAGUUGUGAGGUCUCAGAAUCAAAAGAAUGACAACACCACGGAAUAGAAGUUUGAUACCAUCAUGGGGAGGCUCGCGGCUCUCCAACGGGAGAUUGAGAGACCAGUGUCAGAGUGUUAAAGAGCAGCUUGAAAUUCUCCUGGGCUGCUCGCAUAAAAGAAAAAUCAACAAAAUCAACAUCGUAAUGCAGACACCACCACGGCGCCAGCUGCAGGCCCAAGGCUGGAGCAGAACAAACACUCCCUGAUAACGACUGUAUGAUGACUAUUCUUCCCAUCCCAUGCAAGGCCACCUGGAUUGGCUGGAGGACUGUUUACUUAGCCUGAUAGGGCAAAGGACACUGUCUCAGCUGAACUAUGGACAUGCACACACAUACACUUACACUGAUAAGCACUCACUCAUCCCCCCUCCCUUUCCAAUGCCUUCGAUGCUUGUUGCCCCCUGGUAACACGAGGCGGGUCUGGGCCCGCACUGGAGACGGCGCCGUUGCAGGAUAGCUGCUGUGUUGCCUGGGAUUACUCCUCAUCCCCUACCCAACCCUGUGGCUUGUCAUGUCUUUCACAAUGUUGUGCUGUGGACAUUCAUGUGCUUUUUUAUGCAGAGGAGUUUUUUUGUUUCCUGUUCUCAUGCUGUCCUACCAUGGAAGCACAGCAUGAGUGGAGGUCUCUUUUUUUCCUCUUGUACCUUCCCGUUGUUGUGUACAUUUCAGUGUUUUUCUGUAACGCUACCGAUCUCCGACUUGUAACCCCAUGUGAUGUAUGUAAGGUCGGGGGGGGGGGGGGUCCCCAUUUCACUGCAGGGCAACCUGCUUGUGACAAAUAAAGCUUUGAUUGAUUGAUUGA
ensembl:lncRNA